rnacentral:rRNA from 1 species
UACGAAGGGUGCAAGCGUUACUCGGAAUUACUGGGCGUAAAGGGCGCGUAGGUGGCGGCUUAAGCGUGCGGUGAAAGCUCGGGGCUCAACCCCGAGUCGGCCGUGCGAACUGAGUCGCUUGAGCACUGUAGAGGCAGGCGGAAUUCCGGGUGUAGCGGUGGAAUGCGUAGAGAUCCGGAAGAACACCGGUGGCGAAGGCGGCCUGCUGGGCAGUAGCUGACACUGAGGCGCGACAGCGUGGGGAGCAAACAGG